rnacentral:rRNA from 1 species
CAGUCGAACGAUGAAAGAGAAUCCGAUCUCUUCGGAGUGAAGAAUCUCUGGAUCAGUGGCGGGCGGGUGAGUAACGCGUGAGCAAUCUGCCUUACACAAAGGGAUAGCCUCGGGAAACCGGGAUUAAUACCAUAUGAUAUCUAUUAACCGCAUGGCCUAUAGAUUAAAGAAUUUCGGUGUAAGAUGAGCUCGCGUCCCAUUAAUUAGUUGGUGAGGGUAACGGCCCACCAAGAUAGCGAUGGGUAGCCGAUCUAAGAGGAUGACCGGCCACAUUGGAACUGAGAAACGGUCCAAACUCCUACGGGAGGCAGCAGUGGGGAAUAUUGCACAAUGGGGGAAACCCUGAUGCAGCGACGCCGCGUGAGCGAUGAAGGCUUUCGAGUCGUAAAGCUCUGUCCUAUGGGAAGAUAAUGACGGUACCAUAGAAGAAAGCCCCGGCUAAUUACGUGCCAGCAGCCGCGGUAAUACGUAAGGGGCGAGCGUUGUCCGGAAUUAUUGGGCGUAAAGAGUGCGUAGGCGGCAAAUUAAGUCAGAUGUGAAAACUAAGGGCUCAACCCAUAAAUUGCAUCUGAAACUGAUAUGCUUGAGUCAAGGAGAGGAAAGUGGAAUUCCUAGUGUAGCGGUGGAAUGCGUAGAUAUUAGGAGGAAUACCGGUGGCGAAGGCGACUUUCUGGACUUGAACUGACGCUGAGGCACGAAAGCGUGGGGAGCAAACAGGAUUAGAUACCCUGGUAGUCCACGCCGUAAACGAUGAGUGCUAGGUGUCU